CCGCCGGUAGCGUAGGGGUUAUCGCACCAGACUGGUAUUCUGGAGGUCGUGGGUUCGGUUCCCACCCUGUGGG
rnacentral:tRNA from 1 species